rnacentral:rRNA from 1 species
UACGAAGGGGGCUAGCGUUGCUCGGAAUCACUGGGCGUAAAGGGUGCGUAGGCGGGUCUUUAAGUCAGGGGUGAAAUCCUGGAGCUCAACUCCAGAACUGCCUUUGAUACUGAAGAUCUUGAGUUCGGGAGAGGUGAGUGGAACUGCGAGUGUAGAGGUGAAAUUCGUAGAUAUUCGCAAGAACACCAGUGGCGAAGGCGGCUCACUGGCCCGAGUACUGACGCUGAGGCACGAAAGCGUGGGGAGCGAACAGG